rnacentral:rRNA from 2 species
AAACUAACAAGGAUUCCCCUAGUAACUGCGAGUGAAGCGGGAAAAGCUCAAAUUUAAAAUCUGGCAGCAUUGGCUGUCCGAGUUGUAAUCUGGAGAAGCGUUUUCUGUGUCGGACCGUGCACAAGUUUCCUGGAACGGAAUGUCAUAGAGGGUGAGAAUCCCGUCCAUGGCACGGAUCCCCGAUGCAUUGUGAUACGCUCUCAAAGAGUCGAGUUGUUUGGGAAUGCAGCUCAAAAUGGGUGGUAAAUUCCAUCUAAAGCUAAAUAUUGGCGAGAGACCGAUAGCGAACAAGUACCGUGAGGGAAAGAUGAAAAGCACUUUGGAAAGACAGUUAAACAGUACGUGAAAUUGUUGAAAGGGAAACGCUUGGAGUCAGUCGCGUUGGCCGGGAUUCAGUCGCUCCUACCCGAGUGGAUUACUUCCCGGUGAACGGGUCAACAUCGAUUUCGAAUGACGGAUAAAGGGGAAGGGAAUGUGGCACCUUCGGGUGUGUUAUAGCCCUUCUUUCGCAUACGUCGAUUGGGAUCGAGGAACGCAGCACGCCUUUAUGGCCGGAGGGCUUGCUCUCACGUAACGUGCUUAGGAUGUUGGCAUAAUGGCUUUAAGCGACCCGUCU